rfam:Neotoma lepida isolate 417 scaffold_8869, whole genome shotgun sequence.
AGAUACAAAGGCAAUUUGGCUGCACCAUCUGUCACCCCACUGAUCGCUGUGGUUGAUUUGGCUCAUCUGGCUGGCUAGGUGAGUGUCCCCUUCCUCCCUCACUGCUCCAUGUGCAUCCCUCCUGAAGCUGUGCACUUGGUCAAGGAGGACAACCUUCCCCUAACAGAGAAGGAUCAAUCAGUCAAGGGUAUAGGAGUAGCUGUACUUCCCUGCUAGAACCUCCAAGCAAAACUUUUAAGGACAGCACUUUUAUAAAGGUAUGCAAAGGAAGGAAAAACAAGGUAGUUUUGGUCACACCCUUACCUUACAUAGCUAUUUAAGUAGUAUCUCUAUGAGUGUAAGUGUAU